rnacentral:rRNA from 1 species
UACGUAGGGCGCAAGCGUUGUCCGGAAUUAUUGGGCGUAAAGAGCUCGUAGGCGGUCUGUUACGUCCGCUGUGAAAACCCAGGGCUUAACCCUGGGCUUGCAGUGGAUACGGGUAGACUAGAGGCAGGUAGGGGAGAAUGGAAUUCCCGGUGUAGCGGUGAAAUGCGCAGAUAUCGGGAGGAACACCGGUGGCGAAGGCGGCGCGCUGGACCACUACUGACGCUGAGGAACGAAAGCUAGGGGAGCAAACAGG